CGCGUAGGCGGCCACCGCAAGUCGACUGUGAAAUCUCCGGGCUUAACCCGGAAAGGUCAGCCGAUACUGCGGGGCUAGAGUGCAGAAGGGGCAACUGGAAUUCUCGGUGUAGCGGUGAAAUGCGUAGAUAUCGAGAGGAACACCUGCGGCGAAGGCGGGUUGCUGGGCUGACACUGACGCUGAGGCGCGAAAGGCUAGGGGAGCGAACG
rnacentral:rRNA from 1 species